GAUGAACACUAGCGGCAGGCCUAAUACAUGCAAGUCGAGGGGUAGAGAAGAGCUUGCUUUUCUUGAGACCGGCGCACGGGUGCGUAACGCGUAUGCAACCUACCUUUAUCAGGGGGAUAGCCUCUCGAAAGAGAGAUUAACACCGCAUAAAAACACAGUACGGCAUCGUACAAUGUUCAAAUAUUUAUAGGAUAAAGAUGGGCAUGCGUGACAUUAGCUCGAUGGUGAAGUAAGGGCUCACCAAGGCGACGAUUUCUAGGGUAUCAGAGAGGAUGACCCCCCACACUGGUACUGAGACACGGACCAGACUCCUACGGGAAGCAGCAGUAAGGAAUAUUGGUCAAUGGGGGCAACCCUGAACCAGCCAUGCCGCGUGCAGGAAGACGGCCCUACGGGUUGUAAACUGCUUUUAUACGGGAAUAAACCCCUUUACGUGUAAAGGGUUGAAUGUACUGUAAGAAUAAGGAUCGGCUAACUCCGUGCCAGCCGCCGCAGUAA
rnacentral:rRNA from 1 species